rnacentral:rRNA from 1 species
AACGAACGCUGGCGGCAUGCCUAACACAUGCAAGUCGAACGAGACCUUCGGGUCUAGUGGCGCACGGGUGCGUAACGCGUGGGAAUCUGCCCUUGGGUGCGGAAUAACUUCUCGAAAGGGAUGCUAAUACCGCAUAAUGUCGUAAGACCAAAGAUUUAUCGCCCAAGGAUGAGCCCGCGUAAGAUUAGCUAGUUGGUGGGGUAAAAGCCUACCAAAGGCGACGAUCUUUAGCUGGUCUGAGAGGAUGAUCAGCCACACUGGGACUGAGACACGGCCCAGACUCCUACGGGAGGCAGCAGUGGGGAAUAUUGGACAAUGGGCGAAAGCCUGAUCCAGCAAUGCCGCGUGAGUGAUGAAGGCCUUAGGGUUGUAAAGCUCUUUUACCCGAGAUGAUAAUGACAGUAUCGGGAGAAUAAGCUCCGGCUAAACUCCGUGCCAGCAGCCGCGGUAAU